rnacentral:rRNA from 1 species
GCCCUGACUCCGGGAUAAGCGGUGGAAACGCCGUCUAAUACCGGGAUACGACCCUCUUCCGCAUGGUCGAGGGUGGAAAGUUUUUCGGUCGGGGAUGGGCUCGCGGCCUAUCAGCUUGUUGGUGGGGUAACGGCCUACCAAGGCGAUUACGGGUAGCCGGCCUGAGAGGGCGACCGGCCACACUGGGACUGGAGACACGGCCCAGACUCCUGCGGGAGGCAGCAGUGGGGAAUAUUGCGCAAUGGGCGAAAGCCUGACGCAGCGACGCCGCGUGGGGGAUGACGGCCUUCGGGGUUGUAAACCUCUUUUACCACUCACGCAGGCUCCGCGUUCUCGCGGGUUGACGGUAGGUGGGGAAAAGGACCGGCUAACUACGUGCCAGCAGCCGCGGUAAUACGUAGGGUCCGAGCGUUGUCCGGAAUUAUUGGGCGUAAAGAGCUCGUAGGCGGCGUGUCGCGUCUGCUGUGAAAGACCGGGGCUAACCCCGGUUCUGCAGUGGAUACGGGCAUGCUAGAGGUAGGUAGGGGAGACUGGGAAUUCCUGGSUGUAGCGGUGAWAKGCCGCAGAKMUCASKWSGMACACCGGURSCCGAARRCGKGUCUCUSRSCCUCKACCAUGACGGMWGAGGAGUCGAWAKCAYGGGKAUKMGAACRGCGWUUCCACCGCWUAUCCCUGGUAGUCCAUGCCGUAAACGUUGGGCGCUAGGUGUGGGGACUUUCCACGGUUUCCGCGCCGUAGCUAACGCAUUAAGCGCCC